rnacentral:tRNA from 1 species
AUUUAAGUAAUUUAAUAAAAAUAUUGAUUUGUGGUGUCAAAAAUGUAAAGUUUACCUUGAAUU